rnacentral:rRNA from 1 species
AAAUAUGCACAAUGGGCGCAAGCCUGAUGCAGCAACGCCGCGUGAGGGACGAAGGCCUUCGGGUGUAAACCUCUUUUAGCAGGGAAGAAGCGAGAGUGACGGUACCUGCAGAAAAAGCACCGGGCUAACUACGUGCCAGCAGCCGCGGUAAUACGUAGGGUGCGAGCGUUAUCCGGGAAUUAUUGGGCGUAAAGAGCUCGUAGGCGGUCUGUCGCGUCUGCUGUGAAAACCCGAGGCUCAACCUCGGGCUUGCAGUGGGUACGGGCAGACUAGAGUGCGGUAGGGGAGAUUGGAAUUCCUGGUGUAGCGGUGGAAUGCGCAGAUAUCAGGAGGAACACCGAUGGCGAAGGCAGAUCUCUGGGCCGUUACUGACGCUGAGGAGCGAAAGCGUGGGGAGCAAACAGGCUUAGAUACCCUGGUAGUCCACGCCGUAAACGUUGGGAACUAGAUGUGGGGACCAUUCCACGGUCUCCGUGUCGUAGCUAACGCAUUAAGUUCCCCGCCUGGGGAGUACGGCCGCAAGGCUAAAACUCAAAGGAAUUGACGGGGGCCCGCACAAGCGGCGGAGCAUGCGGAUUAAUUCGAUGCAACGCGAAGAACCUUACCAAGGCUUGACAUAUACGAGAACGCACUGGAGACAGUGAACUCUUUGGACACUCGUAAACAGGUGGUGCAUGGUUGUCGUCAGCUCGUGUCGUGAGAUGUUGGGUUAAGUCCCGCAACGAGCGCAACCCUCGUCCUAUGUUGCCAGCACGUCAUGGUGGGAACUCAUGGGAUACUGCCGGGGUCAACUCGGAGGAAGGUGGGGAUGAGGUCAAAUCAUCAUGCCCCUUAUGUCUUGGGCUUCACGCAUGCUACAAUGGCCGGUACAAUGGGCUGCGAUACCGUAAGGUGGAGCGAAUCCCAAAAAGCCGGUCUCAGUUCGGAUUGAGGUCUGCAACUCGACCUCAUGAAGUCGGAGUCGCUAGUAAUCGCAGAUCAGCAACGCUGCGGUGAAUACGUUCCCGGGCCUUGUACACACCGCCCGUCAAGUCAUGAAAGUCGGUAACACCCGAAGCCGGUGGCCUAACCCUUGUGGGAGGGG